GAUCGCUGUGAUGCGGGCGGUUCGCCGCCCGUGACUCUGCGAGAAGUCCAUUGAACCUUAUCAUUUAGAGGAAGGAGAAGUCGUAACAAGGUUUCCGUAGGUGAACCUGCGGAAGGAUCAUUGUCGAGACCAAAAUACAUCGAGCGAUUGUGAGAACCGGUCAGAAUAAGCGGUGGCCAUUGCUUCCGUGAUGAAAGCCGUCCGAGCUAUUUCCUCAUCCCCUCGUGGGGCGGGGAUGCGAUAAGGAUGGAUGAACCCUCAAACCGGCGCAGCAUCGCGCCAAGGUAAAAAUUGAAACACGAGUCCUGAAACGGGUUUGGUGGCAUGGGGUGCUGUAGCACUUCGUAUGAUUGUACAUGACUCUCGGCAAUGGAUAUCUCGGCUCUCACAUCGAUGAAGAGCGCAGCGAAAUGCGAUACAUGGUGCGAAUUGCAGAAUCCCGCGAACCAUCGAGUCUUUGAACGCAAGUUGCGCCCGAGGCCAAUCGGCUAAGGGCACGUCUGCCUGGGCGUCAAUCGUUAUGUCGCUCUGUGUCAUCUCCACCCCUCAAAGGUUGGGUUGGCGAUGGCUAGGAAGUGCAGAGUGGCUCGUCGUGCCCCUUGGUGCGGCGGGUUGAAGAUGGGGUCUUUCUCUCAAGGCAACGAACAAUAAGGGGUGGGUUUAAGUUAGGCCUAAACUAUUGUGUCGUGUGUGCCUGAGGGAUGAUUAUACAUGAUUCCAAAUUAUGCGUUGAUCUACGGAUGGCGUUUAGAAUGCGACCCCAGGAUGGGCGAGGCCACCCGCUGAGUUUAAGCAUAUCAAUAAGCGGAGGAGAAGAAACUUACGAGUAUUC
rnacentral:rRNA from 1 species